GAGGCCUGCCUGCCCAGUGACAAACGUUCAACGGCCGCGGUAUCCUGACCGUGCAAAGGUAGCAUAAUCACUUGUUCCUUAAUUGGGGACUGGAAUGAAUGGCCUCACGAGGAUUCAACUGUCUCUUACCUCUAAUCAGUGAAAUUGACCUCCCCGUGAAGAGGCGGGGAUACAACAACAAGACGAGAAGACCCUAUGGAGCUUUAAUUUUCUGUCUUAACUACUAAAUAACUAACCCUACUGGGAUAAAAAAAAAGAGAAAUAAGUCAGUAAUUUCGGUUGGGGUGACCUCGGAGAAUAAGACAACCUCCGAAUGAUUUUAACCAAGACAAACAAGUCAAAGUAUUAAAAAUCAAAUUGACCCAAUUCAUUUGAUCAACGGACCAAGUUACCCUAGGGAUAACAGCGCAAUCCUAUUCAAGAGUCCAUAUCGACAAUUAGGGUUUACGACCUCGAUGUUGGAUCAGGACAUCCCAAUGGUGCAGCAGCUAUUAAUGGUUCGUUUGUUCAACGAUUAAAGUCCUACGUGAUCUG
rnacentral:rRNA from 1 species